UAAGGAAUAUUGCUCAAUGGGAGAAAUCCUGAAGCAGCAACGCCGCGUGGAGGAUGAAGGGUCUAUGACUUGUAAACUCCUGUAAAGAAGGAAAAAAUUCCCAUUUGAUGGGAGAUGAUGGUACUUCUGGAGUAAGCCCCGGCUAACUACGUGCCAGCAGCCGCGGUAAUACGUAGGGGGCAAGCGUUGUCCGGAUUUACUGGGUGUAAAGGGUGCUCAGGCGGAUUUGUAAGUCAGAGGUGAAAUCUUACAGCUUAACUGUGAAACUGCCUUUGAUACUGCAAGCCUAGAGUAUGGAAGAGAGUGAUGGAAUAUCUGGUGUAGCAGUGAAAUGCGUAGAUAUCAGAUAGAACACCAAUGGCGAAGGCAGUCACUUGGUCCAUUACUGACGCUAAAGCACGAAAGCGUGGGUA
rnacentral:rRNA from 1 species